rnacentral:tRNA from 1 species
GCAGUGGUUGUUCAGUAGUAGAACUCUUGCCUUCCAUGUGAGAGGUCCCGGUUCAAUUCCUGGCCAAGGCA